UUAACAUGCAGUCGAACGGCAGCGGGAAAGUAGCUUGCUACUUUUGCCGGCGAGUGGCGAACGGGUGAGUAAUGUAUCGGAACGUGCCCAGUAGCGGGGGAUAACUACGCGAAAGCGUGGCUAAUACCGCAUACGCCCUACGGGGGAAAGGGGGGGAUCUUAGGACCUCUCACUAUUGGAGCGGCCGAUAUCGGAUUAGCUAGUUGGUGGGGUAAAGGCCUACCAAGGCGACGAUCCGUAGCUGGUUUGAGAGGACGACCAGCCACACUGGGACUGAGACACGGCCCAGACUCCUACGGGAGGCAGCAGUGGGGAAUUUUGGACAAUGGGGGAAACCCUGAUCCAGCCAUCCCGCGUGUGCGAUGAAGGCCUUCGGGUUGUAAAGCACUUUUGUCAGGGAAGAAAAGGUUUCGGAUAAUACCCGGAACUGAUGACGGUACCUGAAGAAUAAGCACCGGCUAACUACGUGCCAGCAGCCGCGGUAAUACGUAGGGUGCAAGCGUUAAUCGGAAUUACUGGGCGUAAAGCGUGCGCAGGCGGUUCGGAAAGAAAGAUGUGAAAUCCCAGGGCUCAACCUUGGAACUGCAUUUUUAACUACCGAACUAGAGUAUGUCAGAGGGGGGUGGAAUUCCACGUGUAGCAGUGAAAUGCGUAGAUAUGUGGAGGAACACCGAUGGCGAAGGCAGCCCCCUGGGAUAAUACUGACGCUCAUGCACGAAAGCGUGGGGAGCAAACAGGAUUAGAUACCCUGGUAGUCCACGCCCUAAACGAUGUCAACUAGCUGUUGGGCCCUUCGGGGCUUAGUAGCGCAGCUAACGCGUGAAGUUGACCGCCUGGGGAGUACGGUCGCAAGAUUAAAACUCAAAGGAAUUGACGGGGACCCGCACAAGCGGUGGAUGAUGUGGAUUAAUUCGAUGCAACGCGAAAACCUUACCUACCCUUGACAUGUCUGGAAUCCUGAAGAGAUUUAGGAG
rnacentral:rRNA from 1 species